AGCGGCUGUUCGGGUGUCUGUUCCUUGCACCUCAGGACUUGCGCACACUGGCGUGGGGGGGGCCCCGGGGGUGACGUGACGGGCGCCUGCUUGAGUUCAGGCUAGAAAAGCAUAGCGGUAGGAGAGAAAAGCAGCCACCAAGUUACAGAUGCUAUCAUGAUCCCAUCCUCAAUUCCCUGGACAGAUGACCUCACCAAUGUGUAUCGGAACCUCAUCUCUCCAGAGCCUACCCUACUAGAGAUAGAAACAGGCUAAGGGUAUGGAUGACCCACCAACGUCCAUUUCCAGUGGGAAAGUAAUUACAGAAGCCAGACCUUCCACCUUCUGCACCCCACAAAGGAUUUUGAUCCAUAUUCCCAGAGGAGGAGAAAUGUUAGGGGAAGAUGACCAGAGGACUCUGAACUCCAAUUCUAUCAGGACCAGGAGGGAGAAGAGGAAAAAUGGAAGGACACUCAGAAGAAGUAAUAGGUUUAGGUGUGACUUAGGAAAGAAGAGAAGGCAGGACCAUAAAAAUAAAAAAAUGAGUAAGCAUAAAUAUAAGCAGGUAGUUACAGCAAUAAUAGCCAACCCACACCUGUGACCUUGGGAGAGUCACUGCAAUUUCCAAUGGAGGGAAAUGAGGACACAGAACUCUGGUGGUGGGAAAGGUGUGGAAUUAUACCCUUGUUAUCUUAUAAUUUUGUAAGUCAAUAUUGAAUCACUAAUUAAAACAGAAAGGGAGGGAGUAAUA